rnacentral:rRNA from 1 species
GAGUUUGAUCGUGGCUCAGACUGAACGCUGGCGGCGUGCUUAACACAUGCAAGUCGAGCGGUAACAGGCGUAGCAAUACGUGCUGACGAGCGGCGAACGGGUGAGUAAUGCUUCGGAAUCUUCCUCGUAGUGGGGAAUAACCUGGGGAAACUCAGGCUAAUACCGCAUACGAACUACGGUUGAAAGCGGGGGAUCGCAAGACCUCGCGCUAUGAGAUGAGCCGAAGUCGGAUUGGCUAGUUGGUGAGGUAAAGGCUCACCAAGGCGACGAUCCGUAGCUGGUCUGAGAGGACGACCAGCCACACUGGGACUGAGACACGGCCCAGACUCCUACGGGAGGCAGCAGUGGGGAAUAUUGGACAAUGGGGGCAACCCUGAUCCAGCGACGCCGCGUGUGUGAAGAAGGCCUGCGGGUUGUAAAGCACUUUUAGUGGGGAUGAAAAGCCGAAGGCUAAUACCUUUCGGUCUUGACCUAACCCAAAGAAAAAGCACCGGCUAACUCUGUGCCAGCCGCCGCCGU